AGUCCGACAGACCAGCCGGCCAGACAGGCCUCAGACAACUCAGGAUGAUGCUGGGAUUGCAGGUUCUGCUUCUGUAAGCCUACCUCCUCUAAGGCGCCCAUCACAGGGCUCGGGGCACUUACCCAGGAGGCCAAGUAAGACACGGUGUCUUGGCACGGAAUCUGCGGCUCCAUCUUCCCCACCCAGGCGGCGCAUUUCUGCAGUGUCACCCCAGCCACCACUGGCACUAUUGGCGAGUCCACAGAGUGAUGAGCCCCGAUCACCUCAGUUAUCUGAGCCAAGCUUGAUGGCCGACGUGGACCAGCAGGGACAAGACCAACAGGCAACCUUCACACUGCAACUAACACCUGUUGACCCGAGCCAGCCAAUACAGCUGCAGGAUAUCCCCCAAGCCUCCAUGAGUCCACAACUGGCACAAGCUCCACCCCAGCCACAAAUACCAGAUGACUUUUGGUCCAGUUGGACAAGCCAACAGGCCCAAAGCAAUGCCAGCCUGACCGCACAUACCCAACACCUUGCCAGUCUGCCCCAUCAUCUACCGCGCAUUAGUCGCAACUCGGGCAGACUGAUUGUCCAAGUAGGCCGAAUCGCAACAUCGAUGGAGCAAAUACGGGCAGACAACAACCAAAUGCUGGCUCAUUUAACGCGCAUCAUUGAUGAGCAACAGCGCCACCAACAAACACUCGUACAACUAAUACAGCACAACCAGGUUGUGAAUGAGUCUUUAUCCCGGAUUGUAGCCAGCCACACUGCAACCAACACACAACUGAAUGCAAGCAUAAAUAAUUUGAGCAACAACAUAACAUUGAUGGCAGCUCAACAAGUGACCUCCAGCUCUGGAACCACGACCCCUAUCCAAACGCCAGUAACCUCCCCUGUUCGGCGUUCCUCCCGAGCACGUGCCAGUGAGCCAGCACAAAGCACAGCACCCAGCACACACAAGCGGAAAAAAU